GACGAACGCUGGCGGCGUGCCUAAUACAUGCAAGUUGAGCGCUGAAGGUUGGUACUUGUACCAACUGGAUGAGCAGCGAACGGGUGAGUAACGCGUGGGGAAUCUGCCUUUGAGCGGGGGACAACAUUUGGAAACGAAUGCUAAUACCGCAUAAAAACUUUAAACACAAGUUUUAAGUUUGAAAGAUGCAAUUGCAUCACUCAAAGAUGAUCCCGCGUUGUAUUAGCUAGUUGGUGAGGUAAAGGCUCACCAAGGCGAUGAUACAUAGCCGACCUGAGAGGGUGAGCGGCCACAUUGGGACUGAGACACGGCCCAAACGCCUACGGGAGGCAGCAGUAGGGAAUCUUCGGAAAUGGACGAAAGUCUGACCGAGAAACGCCGCGUGAGUGAAGAAGGUUUUCGGAUCGUAAAACUCUGUUGGUAGAGAAGAACGUUGGUGAGAGUGGAAAGCUCAUAAAGUGACGGUAACUACCCAGAAAGGGACGGCUAACUACGUG
rnacentral:rRNA from 1 species